AUCCUUGGAGCGCAAUGGAUAGCGCGUUGACUAUUUAUCCAAAGGUCGUAGGUUCGAAUCCUACCUCGGAUG